UAGUCAGGGGUAGAGGUAAGUGUUUUGCUAAGGAGUGAAGAAGUUCAUGUAUCUGUUGACGAGGAAACACACUUUUGUAGACAAUUGUUAGGUAACAGAGUAAGGAGUGUGUGUAUUACCUUGGUGUAUGACAUGCUCAUGAGACAGUGUCAGACCUUAAAAAAUCGAGUCUAAAUUCAAAAUGACUUUGCUGGACUUUGGAAAAAUCACCUGAAACCAAAGGUGAGAAAUAACAGGUACAGGCCCAUUCACUAGGAAGGAAAUGUACUACGUAGAAAUCCAAGGCCAGGCAGAGUGUGGAGAGGAUGAAUCAGCAACAUCUUCACACUGGGCUGUCCUUUGUUCUCAGAUGAUACUUUUAGGCACAUUCACUAGGACAUACAUCAUCCCCAAGUUUCCUUUAGGGAUAAUGGAAUUGCAGCAAAACAUUUACAAUCCCAGCAAAGCUUUUUUCUUGACCAAUGACAAAACUACUCAAGGCAGUAAGCUUGGAUUGGAAUGAGGACAGUGAACAGAAGUGCAAAAGAAGAUAACCAGUUCCAUGGCCCCAAACCCAGGUGGCAGUGGGGUAAAUAAGUACUUUGGCCCAUCCAGGACUGGGAUCUAAUUUCAGCUCUAUUACUUACUGUCUAGAUCUGUGACUUCAACUUUUCUAAGCUUCAGUUAUUUGUAUGUAAAAGUGGAGAUCUCUGUACUUACUUUGCAGGGCUGUUGUGAAGAUUAAAUUUAAAGUGUGCAUGAAAGAGUUUGUCACAAAGAAAAUGUUCAAUGUUAGGAAAAGCAUCCUUCAUUUCCUUCUUAUGCCUGACUUCUGAUCGUCUGUUAGGAAAGUUAGUCAGAACCCAGGAUGUAUAAGUGGGGAACCCCAAGGCUGGCAUGAUGAGCUCCUUCCUUGAUGAAGCGGGUUCCUGAUUGAGGAAGGAUAUGGAGCCCCUGAAAAGGAAAGGGAGACCCCCAAAGAGAAUAAACGCCCCAGAACAAAACACAAGGCUAAAAGCAAUACUAAAAUGUGCCUCCAUCUUCUUCAGGAUGGGUAAAGAACAUUUACACAGAGGAUAUUAACUCUUUCCAGUCUUUAAGUGGGGCCUAAACUAAAGGGUGUGCCAUUUGGGUGAGCUAAUAGGAGGAUUUUGAAAAUUAAAUAUCAAUCAAGUAGUUAAGAAGAGUUUUAGAAUUGCAUUGACAGGAUGUCUUCAUAAACAAUGCAUACGCAGCCUGGGUCAGUUGAACUAUAUUCCAUCUGAAGAUAAGAAAAGAAACUAGACUAUCUCUCAAUGUUCCUCCAAGAUUCUAUGACUUCAUGAAAGUUUAAAGGAAAUAUAACAUGUCAGAUUUAUUACCUUACUACUUACUAAAGAAAACUCAGAGAGAAUGAUAAUGAUACACAAGGUACUCCAUUGGUAGAAAGGGUUUUGGAGUCACACAGAUCUGUGCAGAAACCCCAGCCCUGGAGCUGACUAGCUAAGUGAUGUCAGGUCAGUUUCCCAGCCUCUACGAAGAUUCUCCAAUUUUAAGUUAGGGAUAACAGCACCGUUUAAAAGUUUUGUUUUAAGAGUGAGAUACUAUUCAUGGAAUCCGAUGCCAGGAACUUAACAGGUAGUCAAUAAAUACUAGUUCCUUCCUCGUGUAGUUUUAACUAUUGCCAACCAUAACAAGCUGCACAUAAAAACAUCUAAGAUUUUGCUGUUUUUUGCAAACAUGUGGUGCAAUUAGUUUUGCUACAUAAUAGAUGAGAAAAACUGAAAGCAAAGAAGUUAAUUGAUGGCCAAAGUCUUACAGUAAGUCCAUGACCCAAUAAUUUCUUGUAUUGUCAAGAAAAUGAUGAGGACAUUUUCCUGCUACAAUGAAAAUGCAAUUGAGGACCAAGCAGCAGCUUCUCAGCUCCUUCUGGCAUCUCUGCCUGGUCCAGCCCACCUGCCUCCACUCCUGCCUCCACCAUGUCCAUCAGGGUGACCCAGAAGUCCUACCAGGUGUCCACCUCUGGCCCCCAGGCCUUCAGCAGCUGCUUCUACACAAGUGGGCCUGGUGCCUGCAUCAGCUCCUCAAGCCUCUCCCGAGUGGGCAGCAGCAGCUUCUGGGGUGGCCUGGGCGGAGGCUAUGGUGGGGCCAGCAGCAUAGGAGGCAUCACCGCUGUCACGUUCAACCAGAGCCUGCUGAGCCCUGUUAACCUGAAGGUGGACCUCAAUAUCCAGGCCAUGCACACCCAGGAGAAGGAGCAGAUCAAGACCCUCAACAAGUUUGCCUCCUUCAUCGACAAGAUACAGUUCCCGGAACAGCAGAACAAGAUGCUGGGGACCAAGUGGAGCCUCCUGCAGCAGCAGAAGACAGCUGGGAUCAACAUGGACAACAUGUUUGAGAGCUACAUCAACAACCUUAGGCGGCACCUGGAGACUCUGAGUCAGGAGAAGCUGAAGCUGGAGACGGAGCUUGGCAAUAUGCAGGGGCUGGUGGAGGACUUCAAGAACAAGUAUGAGGAUGAGAUCAAUAAGCGUACAGAGAUGGAGAAUGAAUUUGUCCUCAUCAAGAAGGAUGUGGAUGAAGCUUACAUGAACAAGGUAGAGUUGGAGUCUCGCCUGGAAGGGCUGACUGAUGAGAUCAGCUUCCUCAGGCAGCUGUUUGAAGAGGAGAUCCAGGAGCUGCAGUCCCAGAUCUCAGACACGUCUGUGGUGCUGUCCAUGGACAACAGCCACUCCCUGGACAUGGACAGCAUCAUCGCUGAGGUAAAGGCGCAGUACAAGGAGACUGCCCACCACAGCCAGGCUGAGGCUGACAGCAUGUACCAGAUCAAGAAUGCGGAGCUGCAGACGCUGGCUGGGAAGCACGGAGAUGACCAGCGGUGUACAAAGACUGACAUCUCUGAGAUGAACCGGAACAUCAGCCGGCUCCAGGCUGAGAUUGAGGGCCUCAAAGGCCAGAGGGCUUCCCUGGAGGUCACCAUCACAGAUGCCGAGCAGCGUGGGGAGCUGGCCAUUAAGGAUGGCAACGCCAAGCUGUCCGAGCUGGAGGCCGCCCUGCAGCGGGCCAAGCAGGACAUGGCAUGGCAGCUGCGUGAGUACCAGGAGCUGAUGAACGUCAAGCUGGCCCUGGACAUCGAGAUCGCCACCUAUAGGAAGCUGCUGGAGGGUGAGGAGAGCCGGCUGGAGUCUGGGAUGCAGAACGUAAGUAUCCAUAUGAAGACCACCAGUGGCUAUGCAAGUGGUCUGAACUUGGCCUAUGGGGGCCUCACAAGUCCUGGCCUCAGUUAUGGCCUAGGCUCCAGCUCUGGCUCUGUCGCGAGCUCCAGCUCCUUCAGCUGCAUCAGCUCCACCAGCUCCACCAGGGCCAUGGUUGUGAAGGAGAUCGAGACCCGUGAUGGGAAGCUGGUGUCCAAGUCCUCUGACGUCCUGCCCAAGUGAAGAGCUGCCGCAGCCCCUCUCAGCCUGCCCCUAUUGUGGCUUCCCCAGAGCCUGGGAGGGAGGCUGCUGUGCAGGGGAGCACAGGGAACAGGAGACCCACCUGAGGCUCAGCCCCAGCUCUCAGCCCACCCGCGGGGGAGUUUACCACUUGGGGACCCCUCUUGCCCAUGCCUCCAGCUACAAAACAAUUCAAUUGCUUUAUUUAUAAUGCCCAAAAUAAAAUCUCAGCUAACUCUGCCAAAAAAAAAAAAAGAAAAGAAAAGAAAAGAAAAUGCAACUGAGUUCCAGAAAAACAUUCCUUCUUUUCACUCUUGUAAUUUAUUGUUUCUCUUAUAUGAUAGGAAAGGAACAGUUUGUAUCAUAAGAUAAUACAGAUCUGGGGGUCCAGAAUGGGGCCAACAGUGUUUCUUUGUCUCUUCUUUUGGGUUUAAGCAGUUUCAGUAUUUCUUCAUUUCAAAGAGGAAGGAUGAACUUUGCAGUUCUGUGGAAUUCUUAUAGAUAAGGAGAAGACUAGGAAUCUUGGCUUAAAUUGCUUCCUUGCUUAUUUCUCUGCAUUGAACGGCAUAGCAUGGUUCAGAAUAAACAGAAGUGAUUUUGAGUGUUCUCCAAGAAACAUUUCUGAUCCCUGGACAUGUUGGAGAAAAACCAGUCUAAGCAAAAGCUACAAAAGCAAAGUGGGUGGAAUUCUGGACUUGCUUUCUGUCAUCAGUUCUAGGCAGACUUGCCUCUCUCGACCUUAGAUUGUUCAUCUGUUAAAUGAAUGGAUAGAACCAGGUAACCUCUAAGGUCCCUGACAGCUCAAAAUUCUCUGAUUUAUGUUCUACCAUGAAAAAAAGGUGGGCUAGUGAAUUUCACCAAUAAAUCCACAACGUAAGUAUUUUUAGUCAUCCUAGAGAAAGAAACCAGGUGCAACUCACAGCCACUUGUCAGUAUAAAGAAUUUGCCACUCUGACCUUCUUAUUUUUCUCUAGCAUAAACCACACUAGCCAGAUCAUGGAAUGAGAUGUGAAAAUGUCCUUUUGGUCCGGCCCACCCUCUUGCUAACCCCUAGACCACACCAGGUAAACCCGCCUGUCAUGAACUAUGCCUUUGGAAUGGGACUUAUAGCACAGCCCUCCAUUAGGCCAGCUCAACUGUCCUCUGACCCCAGGGGGACUCUCCUCCUAGAGUCAAAUGCUGACAUUGCAAUUAAAAACUGUUAUUUUCCUAGUUUCAUACCCAGGCAAAACUCAUCCCUUCCCUACUCUCCCCUUUCCCUGGCCUCCUUUAUUGCCUUGUGUAUUUAUGUUCUUGUUAUCUCCCUUAGUAGAUUGUAGAGAUAAUGCUAUAGAACUGAGCUGUUCUUGCACAGACUUUGGAGUCAGGCAGUCCUGGCUGACUGGGUUCUGCCACUUACAUUGUGUGUUUAACAGCAAGCCAUUUGAACUCUCUGAAUGGAAGGUUUUUUUGGUUUGUUUUGUUUUGUUUUUUUUUUUAUCUUUAAGAGCAGAAUGUAAAUAUCUUCCUCACAAGAUUAUCAGGAUGAUUAAAUGAGUUAUUACAUGCAACGCCACUUAGCACAAUUUUAGGCAAUUGCAGGUUGCCGAAACAUUGAAUCUAUUAUUGUUAUUUGUAUAAAAUAGGAUCUUAACAAAUGCUUGUGAAACAAAACAAAACAAAC